AAUAUGUAGGUACCUACCUCCGGGUUCGGGAUAGCUGCGGGAAACUGCAGGUAAUACCGAAUAACGUCUCCGGACCAAAGGUGUGAUUCCACCUGGAGAGGGGCCUGCAUCCUAUUAGCUUGUUGGUGGGGUAACGGCCUACCAAGGCGACGAUGGGUAGCGGGUGUGAGAGCAUGACCCGCGUCAUUGGGACUGAGACACUGCCCAGACACCUACGGGUGGCUGCAGUCGAGAAUCUUCGGCAAUGGGCGAAAGCCUGACCGAGCGACGCCGCGUGCGGGAUGAAGGCCUUCGGGUUGUAAACCGCUGUCGUAGAGGAGGAAGUGCAGGGGGGUUCUCCCCUCUGUUUGACCUAUUCUAGGAGGAAGUACGGGCUAAGUUCGUGCCAGCAGCCGCGGUAAGACGAACCGUACAAACGUUACUCGGAAUUACUGGGCUUAAAGGGUGCGUAGGCUGCGCGGAAAGUUGGGUGUGAAAUCCCUCGGCUCAACCGGGGAAUUGCAUCCAAAACUACCGUGCUAGAGGGAGAUAGAGGUGAGCGGAACUCAAGGUGGAGCGGUGAAAUGCGUUGAUAUCUUGAGGAACACCGGUGGCGAAGGCGGCUCACUGGAUCUCUUCUGACGCUGAGGCACGAAAGCCAAGGUAGCAAACGGGAUUAGAUACCCCGGUAAUCUUGGCCGUAAACG
rnacentral:rRNA from 1 species